GUAUUUGAGUCCUAUAAUUUAAAUUUACAUCUUCAAAUCAUAAAAUUGCGAUCAAAAUGUUGAAGUUAAUUCCAAUAAUUUCAAUUUGCAGCUGCCACAUACAGAAUACCUUUAUUUAGGAGUAGAGACUUGUUCAUUCCAAAAUUCCAUCUCAAGCAAAAAAGAGAUCCAGCUGGGACUUGUUUUCUUGAUCAAUCACAUCAAGGAACAGGGGAUCAACGGUCACAUGACUGUCCACGUGAACCUUAAACUUGUGCUCCCACAGCACUACCUUAGCCGCUCCCUCAACAUCCACCUUAGCAUCCAGCACCAUCUCUCGCUUAGCUACGUCACUGAAAAACUUGGAGGCAUGGUGGGCCAGCUGGAGCCCAUCGAGCCGAGCCUGGAGCCGGAGCAACUUACAAGACCUGGAAGGCUGAGAGCCGGCCUCCACCUGAGCAGAUCCGAGGAGAGAUCCGUCGUAGAAGAUGGACAUGGUGGUGGAGGAGUAAUGAACUGGGGUGAUGUUGGGGUUGGUGACGUGUACUGUGAGGAGUAGCUCGGCGUCGAGGACGGGAAGGUGAAGCUUGAAGGAAGUGAAGUCGACUGAGAACAAAUGGAAGGUUGGAUCUUUGGGCUUGGCGCUAAGGAGGGCUGUU
rnacentral:misc_RNA from 1 species